ACCAAGGGGAGCCUUUUGGCUGAGAUUUGAGUAAAUACUCAUAACCCUUAUACCUGAUCCGGAUAAUGCCGGCGUAGGAAUGGUCAUAC
rnacentral:ncRNA from 1 species